rnacentral:rRNA from 1 species
AUUGAACGCUGGCGGCAUGCCUUACACAUGCCAGUCGAACGGCAGCACGGGUGCUUGCCCCUGGUGGCGAGUGGCGAACGGGUGAGUAAUACAUCGGAACAUGUCCUGUAGUGGGGGAUAGCCCGGCGAAAGCCGGAUUAAUACCGCAUACGAUCUACGGAUGAAAGCGGGGGACCUUCGGGCCUCGCGCUAUAGGGUUGGCCGAUGGCUGAUUAGCUAGUUGGUGGGGUAAAGGCCAACCAAGGCGACGAUCAGUAGCUGGUCUGAGAGGACGACCAGCCACACUGGGACUGAGACACGGCCCAGACUCCUACGGGAGGCAGCAGUGGGGAAUUUUGGACAAUGGGCGAAAGCCUGAUCCAGCAAUGCCGCGUGUGUGAAGAAGGCCUUCGGGUUGUAAAGCACUUUUGUCCGGAAAGAAAUCCUUGGCCCUAAUACGGUCGGGGGAUGACGGUACCGGAAGAAUAAGCACCGGCUAACUACGUG